rfam:Oryza glaberrima chromosome 4 Oglab04_0274_3, whole genome shotgun sequence.
UUUAAAUGCAUCUAUGAGUUUUCGUGCCCAACUUUAAUUGUCCGUCUUAUUUAAAACAAAUUAUAAUUAAUAUUUUUAUUGUUAUGAGAUGAUAAAAUAUAAAUAGUACUUUGUUCGUGACUUAUGUUUUUAAUUUUUUUAAAAAAAAUUUAAAUAAGAUGAACGAUGAAAACUAGACGCGGAAAAUCAUGGUUGUACUUAGA